CAGUCUUACCUGCGGACAAUCAGCUUUUUGAGUGUGAUUAUGUGGAUUGUGAGGAGUUUAAUCACCCUCAUGGUUUGCAUAUUCGUGCUCUUGGGUGUAUUUGCCCGUGUGGUAGGUUAAUAUCAAUUUUCGGACGUCAUAAAAUGGUUGGAGGAAUGUAGCUUCGAUCUCGUAUUGAGGUGUUAUAGCCUUUCGGCAGAUGUGAUGAUCGA
rnacentral:rRNA from 1 species